GGACGCAACCACGCCGCCAGUAACUGGGUUUCCGGUUCUGAUCUUUUCCUAUGGAGGCAAAGGGCUUCGUAGCGGUACUGAAAAUAUUUACAAACUAAAUAUGGACUCCGGCUUGUUUUUUGAUAGCUUUUUCCUCCCGUUUUAAUCUUUAACCAGUGUACGUCGAGGAAGCAGUGUGUCUGAGUGGAUCAUUCCGUGCAGAGCAGCAGUGUUAUGUUAACAGAGUCAAAAUGGCGUCUGCUUGCCUACUCAACACUCGUUUAAUCCAUCUGUGAUUAGCCUGAUACCUAGCUAAUUUCACACAAGCUGUAACUAUUUUUCUAUUAUUUUCCGUUUACCACGCUGAUACAGUCGGAGCACAUUUCAGCGUCAUGUCUGACUCGGAGGAGGACAGCCAGGACAGGCAGCUAAAAAUUGUAGUGAUUGGAGACGGUGCGUGUGGAAAGACAUCACUCGCCACCAGGUUUGCACAGGAGGCCUUUGGGAAGCAGUACAAACAAACCAUUGGCCUGGAUUUCUUUCUGAAGAGAAUAAGCCUUCCAGGCAACUUGAACGUGACCCUGCAGGUGUGGGACAUUGGAGGCCAAACGUUAGGAGGGAAAAUGUUGGAUAAAUAUGUAUACGGAGCUCAUGGGGUUCUUCUGGUUUACGAUAUCACCAACUACCAGAGCUUUGAGAAUCUGGAGGAUUGGUUCAGCAUGUUGAAGAAGGCCAACGAGGAAUCUGAUAUUCAGCCGGUUAUCUCCCUGAUUGGGAACAAAAUUGACAUGGAGCACAUGAGGACAGUGAAGGCGGACAAACACCAGCGUUUCUGCCAAGAGAACAGCCUCAUCAGUCAGUUUGUAUCGGCCAAGACGGGGGACUCGGUGUACCUUUGUUUCCAGAGAGUGGCAGCUGAGAUUCUUGGUGUAAAGCUAAACAAAGCAGAAAUCGAGCAGUCCCAGAGGAUUGUGAAGGCUGAGCUGGUGGACUACCCACAGGAUGAAGGUCCAAUUAGACAAGAGAACAACCACCAAAGCAAAAUAUGUUCUGUUCAAUAGUUGUCAAAAACGUGUGGUAAAGGCAGACAUCGUGAACUACAGUCAGGACACAGUGGCCAGGACAGUCAACCCCCCUCGCAGCUCUAUGUGUGUAGUUCAGUGACACACACACACACACACACACACACACACACACAAUGUAAAAUUGCCUUCAGUCAGUAUUCCUCUCUCUUCAAGAUUUGUGGGGUGACUGGAUGAAAUGUGUUCAGAGUGUGUUCUCUCUAUUCCUGUGUGUCAGUUGUACGGGUGAGAUGAAGAACAGACUGUGUGGUUUCGAGGCCUUGCCCUGUAGUGUGGAUAUUAAGCAGGAACGAUUUCUUGGGUGGUUUACCAAAAAGGAAACGGGACCUCCGUUUUUUUAAAGUUUACGUGCAGCUAUCAUUUUAUGUCUGUGAUUCACCUCUGAAUACAUAAAAACAAAACUCUUUAAGCGAUUACUUGAUUGAUGUGUUAGUACAGUAUGAAGCUGGUUGUUUAAAGGGGAAAGACUUGGAUGUGUUAACAGUUAAACAGGGAGGUGAAACCAAAUGCUAUUUUAUGUCUGUGGUGCUCCUCAGUUUAACAGUAAUAGGCGUUAAGAAAAUGCUGUAGUGGACUGAAAUUAAUCUCUGUUUUUAAUUUGUCAAUUAGGGGCUCUGAUGUGAAUCUUGUACUGUUACUUUACAAAGACAUAUUUAAAUUUUACAAUCCUAAAUCAAUAUUUACAUUUUAUAUUCAUUAUUCUUCAGAUUAUAUCCAAAUAAUUGAAUGGUAUCUCCGUUUUUCCAUAUGCUUCUUGUAGAGUCUACAUUGCAUCUUGAUGAUUUAGCUUUACAUUUUCACACUGUGAAAAUGUAAAUGGAAUGUGACAUUCCUGGGCUUGUCCAGUUAGGGGUUAAUUCAGAUGCUGUGUUAAAGUGUUGAUGAAGGUAGGUGAAUAUGACCAAGGAAGUACCUGAGUCUCAAGCUGAGCUGAAAUGUAUAACAUUUUUUAGAGGUCUCUACAUAGCCUUAUUCAACUGUCCGUUAUAGAACAGAAGUUUGCAUUGAAGAAUGGCUAUGAUGCAUGAAAUGCUUAAUAGGAUGUUAAUUUUGACCACAUUUUAAUAGCCUGUUUGACAGCAUGUGUACUGUUAGAGACAAUUGAGAUAUAGCAAGUUUAACCUGUUUUAUCAAAGUAGUUUCUACAUGCUAGUACUUGUUGGCAUGAUUUAAUGUGUUGUUCACCUACUGAAAUAUCGGCCAUAUGUGUAAAGUAUGUAUUUGUACAAUAAAAGCUCCAUUUCAAAGCUGCUUUCAUUGAUUAGAAAUGAUCAUAAUACAUCCUGUAAAUUCUGAAUAUGUAAACAAAAUGUACGCUUUGAAAAAAGUUAGAGAUGUACAGUUUAAAGUGAAUGUUUGAUUGACAUUAAACAGUGACACAGUUUUGUGUUUCUAAAUAAAAAUGCUACAUUGAAAAUAAA